AGUGAACGCUGGCGGCAGGCCUAACACAUGCAAGUCGAACGAACCCUUCGGGGUUAGUGGCGGACGGGUGAGUAACACGUGGGAACGUGCCUUUAGGUUCGGAAUAACUCAGGGAAACUUGUGCUAAUACCGAAUGUGCCCUUCGGGGGAAAGAUUUAUCGCCUUUAGAGCGGCCCGCGUCUGAUUAGCUAGUUGGUGAGGUAAUGGCUCACCAAGGCUACGAUCAGUAGCUGGUCUGAGAGGAUGACCAGCCACAUUGGGACUGAGACACGGCCCAAACUCCUACGGGAGGCAGCAGUGGGGAAUCUUGCGCAAUGGGCGAAAGCCUGACGCAGCCAUGCCGCGUGGAUGAUUAAGGUCUUAGGAUUGUAAAAUCCUUUCACCGGUGAAGAUAAUGACUGUAGCCGGAGAAGAAGCCCCGGCUAACUUCGUGCCAGCCGCCGCGGUAAAAC
rnacentral:rRNA from 1 species